ensembl:lncRNA
GUUGGGGUUCCCUGCAUUGCUGAUGUCUUCUGGAGAUGAGAGUCGAACGGAACUUCUUACUGGAUGCUGAUGAAGAAAUUCCUAUUCUAACUGGAAUAGAGGAUAUUUCAAUGAAUUACACAAAAGUGCAGCUCAGCAAAAAGUAGAAAGCUUGUGUUAGAGUGUUUAAGGAAUUUAAUAUAAGGAAGUGAUUUAAAGGGAGAGUGAAGAAAUUACUUAUGGUUUUAAUUCUCCUGUGGUAGAAGACAUCUGUAUUCAUAUGACUUUCUAAUGUGGCAGAGAAAUCAAAAGCCAGCGUGGGGAGAGAAAACACAACUUGAAUUCUUGUUGGCAGCACUUGCAAGUGGAGAUUUCAGAGUAGCUGUUGGGGAUGCAGGAGGGCAGAAAACACAGCUUUACAAAUGAAAAUACGGGAAAAAAUAAUAGGCCAAGAUGAAGUGCCUUGUGUUAAUGUGAAGGCAAACCAAAAAGAAGUUGUGGUCAAAUACUCAGUGCAAUUAAAAGUGUUGUAGCAGCAGAUGGGCACACAGGUGCCCAGAUGGAAAGCACAGACAGCUGCCUUAGUGUGGUGGGCUUCAGGAAAACCUCCCCAGCCCUGCACUGUUUGCCCAGAGGGAAAAUGCCCACUGGUUGGCAGAAGUAGGAUGUAUUAAUGGCCAUGUCUCAAGGCAGAGGGAUGUCCCUGCACAUCUUUUGGGAGAUGCUACCAGAUUCAUGCAUUCCUGUGCAGUCCAGCCCUCCUGCCCUCGCUGUGCUCCGGUAUGGGACAGAAGGAAACACAGAGCAAGGAAACUACAGGCAAGAAGAACUGAAAGAAACUGCCAGCACCGCAAUCCCAUGCAAGUGCAGAGAAAGCCAUGUGUUAUGCAACAUCCGUCUAGGAAGCAACACUUGUCAUUGAUAAAAAUUAUGCAAAGAGAUCCCGUGGCUGGAGGAAAAGGAAAAUGCAGAUCAGCCAAACAGCCUUACCCUAUGGUGAGAUAUUGCUGACCCUCACAUAUGUUGUUUUACAGAGAAUCCAGCAAAGCUAAAUUCCUAAACCAAUUCCUGCUAUAUCUUUUUGAUUUGAAGACCUGGAUGCUACUUUCACCCUCAGGGUCUUGGGCCGUGCCCUACAGAGACCCACAAUAGGGAUUUUUCUGUGGUCCUAGAUCUAGCUCGUGCCUGUUCUCCCUCCUUCUUGAGUCCACUUUGAGCUGAAAACCCUCAGUUCCACAGCCAGGGGCCUGGGGACACCAGACUUAAGUAUCUCUUGCUCCUUAAAGUAAAUACAUUUAAUAUAGAAGCAUAUGUAAAUAUGGGUAAAUAUGGUAAAGAAAGAAACACCCUGUGCAAGGAACAAGCAUUUUAUGUGAGAAAGGACUCUAUUUUGCACAAAUACAAAUACAUCCCUCAACAAAUAGCAGGAUCAACACUCAGACUCAAGUCAGAAGCUGACUCACCAGCCCACAGGCAGCUUCUUGCUACAGUGUCAGACUUUGCUCUACUCCACUACCACCAAACAGCCCCCGCAGUUUCCCCUAUACUCCCCCACAGUGCCCCACAUCCGGCUCUCUGCCUCCUGCAGCUCAGCUUGCACCUGGGGUCUCAUCUGCACCCCUGCAUUCAGGUAGAGCAAAGCCCUGGGGCUGGUUCUCAGCAGCUUUGGCUUUGCAAGGGCAUAUGGACUCUGGUCCCCCACAGGUACAGCCCUAUAGCUCUUCUGCAUGAUUUGGUUGAGGCAGCAGCUCUCAAGCGUUGUCCCUGCAGAGAUCAGCCCAUGUGAACACUCCUUUGGGACAUAAAGAAAAAAAUAAGCCUGUCUGCAAAAAGUGGUUUCAAUUAUGAGUUUGCAGACACCGAGUAUCCUCCUGCACCCAGACGUGGAUUGCAUAAGCUCCAGUUACAUUAAGAUGGGC